GACGAACGCUGGCGGCGUGCUUAACACAUGCAAGUCGAACGGAGUGGCGAACGGGUGAGUAACACGUGGGUGAUCUGCCUUGCACUUCGGGAUAAGCUUGGGAAACUGGGUCUCAUACCGGAUAUUGCAAGAUGAGCUCGCGGCCUAUCAGCUUGUUGGUGGGGUAAGGGCCUACCAAGGCGUCGACGUGUAGCCGGCCUGAGAGGGGGUACGGCCACAUGGUGACUGAGAUACGGCCCAGACUCCUACGGGCGGCAGCAGUGGAGAAUCUGGCACAAUGGGCGGAAGCCUGAGGCAGCGACGCCGGGUUGGUGAUGAAGGCCUUCGGGUUGUAAACUCCUUUCGACAGGGACGCGGUACCUGUAUAAGAAGCACCGGCUAACUACGUGCCAGCAGCCGCGGUAAUAC
rnacentral:rRNA from 1 species